GUCAUUGUUGAUUCUUGUGAAUCUUGCAACUUUCCAGUGUAGAAGGCAGUUCACCUUUCUCCUUGUCCCCUACCCGCCACCAACAUCACCCAGGUAAGCAGUAUGUGGUGAAGAGCCCUGAUUUUGUUCCAUUCGCUCCCUGUUCCUCCAGAGAGAGAGUGGCAUGGCCCCUCUGACAGUGUAUCCUGAGGAUAUCGCCUCUCUCUUAUAGUGCCUGAAACCAGCCCUGAGAAGAGAGCUGGGAGGGACACUUGAGGAGAAUGAACGACAGCAGGAGACCCAGACAACUGCUCUCUGGAGAGGUGAAACUGGGACAUCAGAAGAAAACAGGACAGAGGGAAUAUUUUAAGGACACGGUAAAACAAAGCCUGAGAAAGUGCUGCUUCCCAGCAGAAAAGCGGGUAUUAAUAGCUGAAGAGAGACCAGCAUGCUGUCAAGAAAGAAGUGACUCUUUUUCACAAAACCUUGGUAAGAAAUAAGAGACAAAGAGGCAAAAGUGAAAACAGCACCAGGCACUGAAGGCAUCAAACAGGACAACAUAACAGUCUCUUUUUGUGCACAGCGGGGCCAGACUGUAGGGUCCUGCAUUGUCCUGCCUUUUCAAUCCCAUGGGUGAAUUUCUUAGGGUCCUGCAUUGUCCUGCCUUUUCAAUCCCAUGGGUGAAUUUCACCAUCAGUGGAAUCUUCUUUGAAUGCAAAGGACACCUAUAAAGAAUACAGUGCUCGACACACAAUAGGCACUCAGAAAUACAUUGAUGGAUCCAAGGAGUACACUCAGUCUGAGAUCAUGAGGGUUUUCACUAUGUUUUCUAGUGAGUACGCUUCUAGGGAAUUGGGGAACGUUCUUCCAACAGCGUGAACUUGCCUGGACUCGGCAUGUCACAUUAUUGAAGAAACUGCUCACGUGCCCGUAGGCGGUGGUGGAACACCAAGUACCGCCAAUGUGAGUUUUCCAUGGGGUGGAUUUUGCAAGUUCUAGGAGAACUUAAUAUGCCUUGGGAACUUCACCGCCCACUCUGCAGUUUCAUACCU